GUUGUAGGAGCAUUGAUGUGCCUUGAUGGAGAUGUAACGGAAGAUGUAGCAAAUCAAUGAAAUUAAUGGUCAGUUACGAAUGUGCAGUCUAUAAAUAAGAAUAGCAGGACAGGUAAAGUAAUCUUGAAUCUAAUCUAAAUUGGCCUAGCUAAUUGAUCCAUUAUCUGACUUGGGCGUCGGAGUGUUCUCUUUGCAGGACCUCCUGGUUGAUCUUCAAAAGACAUCAUUAAGACGAACAGGUCGGGCGGUCGGAAGCUGGUCUAAAGGGUUGGUUCGGUCUCGGGCUCUAACACCGAAACAUUUGGCGCCCACCAUGGGGCCCGAAAUUGUGAUUUACCCAGAAACGAACACAAUGGCUAAGCAGUUACAGUUGCAGGUUCUACAAGAGAUGCAGAGACAGAUGCAGGAGAUGAGGGCGGAGAUAGCGGCUCUGCGAGCGGAGCGAGAGAACGGGGUAGGGGAACCCUCGGUGCGAUCGGUGAAUGUGCAGACAGUCCAUUCUGGGGAUGAGGAGGUCAUUCGGCGGCCAUCGGUGGAGGAGGUGGGAGAAGCCGUUGGAGGGGAAGUUGUAGGAAGGGGUCGAGGAAGAGGGACUGACCGGGGGGAGGGGCCAGCAGGAAGAGGGGCCGGUCGGGGGGAUGGGCCGAACGGGAGGGGGAUCGGUAGAGGAGAGGGGUUGAACGGGAGAGGGAGGGGGAGAGAUGUUCAGGGAAGGGGAAGGGGAAGAGGGGAGGAAAAUAUAGGACGUGACCAGGAAAACCCGGAGAGGCAUAGGGAGUUUGCAGGGCAGAAUCAGCAAUUCGAAGAAGUUCUAGAGGGUGAGGACUAGUUUGAUCAGGCUGAGGGGCUGCACCCGUUUACUAAUAAUGUUAUGGGGGCAGUAAUGCUGGAGAAUAAGGUUUUCCCAUGGGUUGAGAAGUAUGGGGGCACGUCGGAUCCGGUGAAACAUCUACGAUCGUUCGUAGAUGCUAUGGCAGUCUAUUCAUCCAACGAGCUGGUCUGGUGCAGGGUGUUCUCUUUAUCCUUGAAGGAUGAAGCUUUGGAUUGGUUUCACUCACUGCCACCGUGAAGCAUUGAUGGGUUUGUUACCCUGAGGCAGUUGUUUAGCCAGCAGUAUGCUUCAAACCGUUCGCGAGGUUUGACUUAUACAGCCCUUGUCAGGAUGAAGCAAGGGCGUGAAGAGUCAUUGAAAGGGUUCAGGGAGCGCUUCAACCGAACCGCUCGGCAGGUGAGGAACGUAGACCAACGGCUGAUAGUAAGCGCGCUUACGACAGCGCUCAAACCUGGACCCUUUGUGGAUUAUUUGUACGAGGAGGAACCCCAGUCUAUGGGUGAACUGCAGCAUAAGUUAGCCGGGUUUAUACGAAUAGAGGAGGGGAGGUCGUACCGUAGUGAUCAGGGGGAAGAGGGGGUAACGAGAGAGAAGUCAGGGCGGGACAGAAGAGGAGAAAAACGGCCGGUCGGAGGGGAACAUAGAAUGACGGUGAAACGAGGGACAGAAAUACAAAAAGCGCAACAAUACUUCCAUCACACUUCAUUAAGUGCCCCGAGGGUGAGAGUCCUGGAGGAAGCCUUAAGGGCUAAUCUGCUGACGGUGGCACGGUCCCCGACCCCACGGGGAGCGGAUGAAAGUAAACAUUGUCGAUAUCAUCAGAACAUGGGGCAUUCUACGGAGGAUUGUGUGGCGUUGAGAGAUAAGUUGGAGAGCCUGGUACAGGCUGGGCACCUGAGGGAGUUUGUUCGAAGGGAGAAUCCUAACCCGAGGGAUACCCCGGGAAGGCACAGAGGUCGACUACCGGUCGGGCAGAGGGCUCAGCCGACUGCCGAACGAACGGAGGGCGAUGGAAGUGGAGAAAGGCCUCUGAGAGGGGUAAUAAAUACCAUAUCGGGCAGUUUUGCCGGAGGAGGGGCAUCCUCAGCCGCCCGAAAGCGGCAUUUGAGAAACUUGCAUAGUGUGAAUAAGGUGGGGAUCGGUAGAAGGACCAUGCCGUCCAUAACGUUUUCAGACGAGGACUUCCAUGCACCAGACCCAGACCAGGAUGACCCCAUGGUCAUAACGGCUAUCAUCGCUCGGUACAGCGUGGGAAAGGUGUUAAUUGAUCAGGGAAGUUCGGCUAACAUCCUAUAUUGGAAAACCUUUCAACAGAUGGACAUACCGGACAAAUCGAUAAUGCCUUUUAACGAGCAAAUCUUGGGAUUCGCAGGAGAACGGGUUGAUACAAGGGGAUAUGUGGACCUAAGGGUGUGCUUAGGGGCAGAGGCGGGGGCGAAGGAGUUAAGGGUGCGUUUCCUGCUGGUAGAGGCGGAAACUUCAUACAACGUGCUGUUGGGACGGCCUUGCCUUAAUGCGUUUGGAGCAAUAGUGUCCACCCCUCACUUGACAAUGAAGUAUCCCGCAGAUGAUGGCAUGAUCCGGACGGUUAAAGCCGACCAGAGGGUAGCAAGGGAGUGUUACGCGGCGGGAUUAAAGGUGCAACCCCCAAGGCAUAGGGUGUGCGAAACCCGUCCGGCAACAUCGGCUGCAGAGUUGGACCCAAGAGAGGAUACCACCGACCGGGUGGAACCGAUGGGGGAAAUCCAGCCAUGUCUCCUAGAAGGCGAAGACCGGGUGACAAUGGUCGGCAAGGACCUUCAGGAGGGCGAAAGGCAAAGGUUGGAGGGUGUGCUGGUGGAGAAUAAGGAUUUGUUCGCCUGGACUGCGUCGGAUAUGCCAGGUAUCCACCCUGGCAUUAUUUCGCAUAAGUUGUCUAUAUUUCGAGAUGCUCGACCGGUAUCUCAGAAGAAGAGGAGGCUAGGUGUGGAGAAGAGAAGGGCGGUAGGCGAAGAGGUGGAGAAGUUGAUCGAGGCUGGGUUCAUAAGAGAAGUCAAGUACACUACUUGGCUGGCCAACGUAGUCAUGGUAAAAAAGUGCAGUGGUAAGUGGAGGAUGUGCAUUGACUUUACGGAUCUAAACAAAGCCUGCCCGAAGGAUAUGUACCCCCUACCGAACAUUGACGCGUUGGUAGAUGGAGUGUCCGGGUAUGAGGUAAUGAGUUUUCUGGACGCCUAUUCAGGGUAUAAUCAGAUACCUAUGUACCGUCCGGACAGCGAUAAAACUGCUUUCAUUACCGAGCAAGGAACCUUUUGCUAUGAGGUCAUGCCGUUCGGUUUGAAGAACGCAGGGGCUACAUACCAAAGACUAAUGGACAAGGUCUUUCAAGGGCAAAUAGGAAGAUGCAUGAAGGUGUAUGUCGAUGAUAUGGUGGUGAGGAGUCGGUCGAUUGAGGAACAUCUGGCGGAUUUAAAGGAGGUUAUGGGGCAACUUCGAAAGUUUGAUAUGCGCCUCAAUCCCGCUAGGUGUACCUUUGGGGUAAGGGCGGGGAAAUUUCUGGGUUUCAUGCUGACCGCACGGGGAAUUGAGGCAAACCCCGACAAGUGUAAGGCGGUGUUGGAAAUGAGAAGCCCCCAGACGGUGAAGGAAGUUCAGAGGCUGGUGGGGCGGCUAACGUCGUUGUCAUGGUUCAUCCCUCAUCUGGCCGGACGGGCGAAACCGAUCGUCAAGGCCAUGAAGAAGACCGCGCGGGAAUGUUGGGAUGAAGAGAGCGAGGAGGCCUUCAAAUGGAUAAAGGAGGUUCUUACCCAGCCCCCCGUGAUGGGUCGGCCCGAACCUGGGCAUGAAUUUCAGAUCUACUUGGCAGUUUCGGAGGGGGCCAUUAGUGCGGCCCUGGUACAGGAGGUUCCUCAGUUCAAACUGGUGUAUUUCGUCAGUAGAAGCUUGAAGGAGGCAGAGUUAAGGUACCAGCAGUUGGAAAAGGUGGCCCUGUCCCUAAUUUAUGCCGCUCGGCGGUUACGGCCAUACUUCCAAGGGUUUCAAGUCGUGGUGCGAACGAACUACCCGAUAGCUAAGAUCUUACGGAAACCAGAUUUGGCGGGCCGAAUGAUAGGGUGGUCGGUAGAACUAUCGGAGUUUGGGUUGAGGUACGAACCGAGGGGGUCGGUACGGGGUCAACACUUGGCAGAUUUUGCGGUUGAUCUACUCCCUGAAGAGGGGGAAUUCUGUUGGAAACUUUCGGUUGAUGGGUCGUCUAGCCGAAGGGGAGGAGGAGCGGGAGUGGUCUUAGAAGGGCCGAACGGGAUAUUGAUUGAGCAAUCGUUGGUGUUCCAGUUCAUGGUUAGCAACAACCAAGCCGAAUAUGAGGCUUUACUGGCCGGGAUGGAGUUGGCAAAGGACCUAGCAGUGGGUCGGUUGGAGUGUCGAACGGAUUCCCAGUUGGUCGAGGGACAGAUGAAUGGGAGCUUCCAGGUGAAGGAUGAUCUCCUGUUGCAAUAUUUUCACAAGGCCAAGCAAUUGGCCUCAAGUUUCAAAAAGUUCACAUUGCGACAUGUUCCUCGAUCGGAGAACAGCCGCGCCGAUACACUGUCGAAGCUGGCCGGCGGAGUCACGAAAGGGGGGUUAUCUUCGGUGAUCAGACAGUUGGUAACCAAGCCGACGGUGGAAUGCUGCGCCAUUACUACCAGGGGAAUACAAAGUACCUGGAAGGACGAGAUAGUACAAUUGAUUCGGAAGCAGGAUGACGGGGGGGCCUUAAGUACCAAGGAGGCCAAGAAGAUCGCUCGGUAUUGCUUGAUAGGUGAUGAGCUGUACCGGAGGGGUUACGUCACUCCAUUAUUGAAGUGUUUGCUGGAGAACGAAGCGGAGUACGUUAUGAGGGAGUUGCAUGAAGGGAUGUGCGAGAGACAUACAGGUGGGCGAACUCUACGAGCUAGAGUGCUAAGGGCAGGGUUUUUCUGGCCGAUGUUAGAGAAGGAUUGCAUGGCGUUCGUCCGGAAAUGUGAAGCCUGCCAAAAGCAUGGGAAUAUUUUCCACGGUCCAGCGGUGGAGUUGCAAGGAAUAAUGUCCCCUUGGCCAUUCGCCCAGUGGGGAAUGGACAUUGUUGGACCACUGUCAACCGGGCGGUCUCAGAUGAGGUUUUUGCUGGUGGCAGUGGACUACUUCACAAAAUGGGUAAAGGCUGAACCUUUGUCAAAAAUCUCUGCCGCCCAAGUUCAGAAAUUUGUAUGGAAGAUCAUUUGCCGGUUCGGGUUGCCCAAAAUGCUCAUUACGGACAACGGUCGGCAGUUUAUAGAUAAGAAGUUGGAAGCCUUUUAUCGGGAGUGGGGCAUAGCUCAUGUCACCAGUUCGGUUGAGCAUCCCCAGACGAACGGGCAGGCGGAGGCAAUGAAUAAAAUAAUCAUACAAGAGUUGAAGAGGAGAUUAGGCGAGGCAAAGGGUGCUUGGGUUGAUGAAUUACCAUCGGUCCUGUGGGAGUAUCGAUGUUCUCCCUACGGGGCAACAGGAGAGUCCCCAUUUAACCUGACCUAUGGGACGGACGCGAUGAUGCCGGUCGAGGUGGGCGAGGAGACACUGAGAAGACAGGUGAAUGACUCAGUGGCGAAUGAAGAAGGUCUGAGGGGAAACCUGGACGUGUUGCAAGAGAGAAGGGAAACUGCAGCGGUCCGGACAGAGGCACUAAAGAGGUUGGUCGCGCGAAGGUACAACACUAAGGUGCGACCAAGGCAAUUGAUCGAGGGCGAUCUCAUUUGGAGGAAAGUCGGGGAAGCUCGGAGGGAGAAGAUUCACAGAAAACUGGCAGCCAGCUGGGAGGGGCCAUUCAGAAUAAGUGAAGGUUUGAAUAAUGGGGCUUACCGACUGGAGCAUCUAGACGGGAAGCCAAUUCCGAAUACAUGGAAUAUAUCUCAUUUAAAAUUGUACUUUAGUUAAAAUCUUUCUUUUUGAACCGCAAUAAAGCAUGUACUUAUGAAGCCAUAAGUUGAAUGAUACGAGGCAUUUCAUUGUUACUUAAUUCUGAUUUUCCCGUUCGGUGGAGAAGGAAGGAAGGAGGAGGAACUUUCCGGCGUUCUUCCCGUUCGAUAGCAUAAGGAAGGAAAACGCUCUGGCGUACCAACGAAGUCAGGAAAAUGACUUCCUCUAACUUAGAAGAAUGAGGGAAAGUUAGGAAAAUGACUUCCCGUUCGGUGGAGAAGGAAGGAAGGAGGAGGAAAUGACUUCCCGUUCGGUGGAGAAGGAAGGAAGGAAGAAGAACGUUCCGGCGUUCUUCCCGUUCGGUAGCAUAAGGAAGGAAAACGCUCCGGCGUAUCAACGAAGUCAGGAAAAUGACUUCCUCUAACUUAGAAGAAUGAGGGAAAGUCAGGAAUGUUCUGGCGUUCUCCCCGUUCGGUGGUGAUAGUAAGUCCCUGGUCUGGGAAGAACUAGGGGUAUCAUGAGACUAAUCCCCCGUUCGGUGGAGCUUAAACCUUGAAAACAAGGUUAGGAAAACGCUCCCUUAUUCUGGCACAUUGACCGUCAAACAUAAAUACAAGGGCGUUCGGGAAUAAACGAAUACGUCGGUCGACACAGCACAAAUCGCAAACAUAUGGUAAUCGUAAAUUGCAGACAUGUAAUAAUUGCAAAGUAAAGACAAAAGUAUGCAACGAGUUCGGUACAAACGAUGUGCAAAUACUAAUCACAAAAUGACAAAGGAAAAAUAAGAAGCUAGCAACUAAUCCUUGGUGGUUUUGUCUGAUGGAGAAGCAAGUGGGGAAGCCUGGUGAGCAUCGGUCGGGACCGCCUGAUCGGGUGCGCUAACAGGUUCGGCAGGAAGCUGGGAGGAGAUGUCAACAAGUUGCCCGCCCACCAAAAUCUUCAUGAUGUUGAAACCUUCAUGCUCUAAGGGCGACUGGAAGAAGUAGUGGCACUGAGCGAUUCCCUGCUCGAACCCACGCUGGCGCUCUUCACAAAAUUCAUCCUCCAGAGCAGUGAAGUCGGCCAGCGAUUUAUCCCGGUCGGCAAUAGCGGCGUCCCUUUCAGAGGUUAGCUGUUUGAGUUGGUCGGAGGAUUGCUGGAGGCUGAGGGUUAGGGCAUCCACUGAUUCUUGGAGGCGCUUCGCUUCCUUUUGAGAUUCAAGGAGGGAUGCGGCGGCCUUGGACCGUUCGUCCUCCACUAAUUUGUUGGCCUUCUCAAGACGCUCGGUAAGAGAGGAAACCUCCUCUUUCGCUUGGGUCAGUUGGUUGUUGGAGAUUUCGAUUUCGGACACCAAGAGGGGCUUCGUGGUUCCAGCAGCAUAGUUCAUACAGAUGCCAGCUCAGGAGAGGAAUUCAUAGGCCAUGUCGGAGGCCUCAGAGGGAGUCAAUUUCUUGAAGGGUUCUUUCUCUUCGGGAGAAAGGUUGAACUCUAGGCGGUCAGACACAUGAAUGUUGGGAUCAAGGAGACUGGAGAGAAGGCGGCUGGAGAGUUUCUUCUUUUUGGGUGGUGAAGGUGUCUUUUCUUGGGAAGGACGCUUCCUGCUUUUGGUCUUAGGCAAAAAGGAGAUCACGAUCGGCUUGGACUCGUCGAUCUUCGGAACGUUGAGGGGGGCCGGUGAAGCGGAACUGGAGGGGGCAGCGGUUGAGGAGGAGGGAACGGUAACAUGUCCGCUGCGUUGGUUCUUGCGGGCCAAAGCUCGGGCAAAAGCUUGGUGUUUCUCCAUGCCACCAAAGAAAUCUGCAAGGAAAGCGCAAAUUUAGCAAGUUAAUAAUGACCGGUCGAUAAUUCCAAAAUGUAAAGAAACUUACCGAACACUCUAGUUCGUAGAGUGUUAGAGUUAGAUCCGAUGAGUUCGAUGAGUUUGCGAGAGGAGGUCUUGCGGGGCAGCUGAUCGAUUUGGCGUAUCACCUCCAACUCGUCGUCGGUCAUUUCGGACUUCUUCCAGGAAAUGACUUGUUUGGGAUGCUCGGUCCAGUAGAGGGGGAAUUUGGGCCGGCCCUCCGAAAAGUAUUUGGGCCGGCCGGGUUCACGUAUGGCAACCUUGAAGAAGUUUGAUUUGAAAUCCUUGUAAGAAGAGUUGAAAGGAGCGAAUAGCUGCUUAUCCUUUACAGGGAUCAGAGAGAUCCAACUUUUGUUGGGAUGGGGUAAAGCCCGGAAGAAGAAAAGGAAGGACGCUGGAGUUGGGGUUAAUAGUAAACCGGUACAUAGAAUGGAAAAGGCUUGCAUGCAUGCCCAGCCGUUCGGAUGGAGCUGAGCGGGACAAAUAUUCAGUUCGCGAAGCACGCCGCACUGAAAGUCGGAGAAGGGAAGCCUCACCCCCAGGUCACGAAAAAGGGUUAGGUAGGCGUAAAAGAAGUCCAGGGCAUACCCUUCCCGACUGUGGCACACCCGCUCGUUAGAACGACAUACCACCAAGGAUAUGUCAGCCGCAUCUCGACGGAGAUUGGACAUGAGAUCCACCGAUUCGAGCAAACGAACGAUGGAGGAGGUGGAAAUAAAGUAGGAAGGAUGACCCCGAGCUUCAUGGGGAGCCUAGUCAUAACCUGAGAUGGCGGGGGGAGGAGCCACGCUGGUCCACUCCAGGGAGUUGUCAAUGUUGAAUUCAACAUCAUCGGCGCGAGCCUCCUUCGGGCAGGGCGACCGGACGAGGUGGACGACGAAGAGGGAGAAGAGGUCGACGCAGCCGCAUCAUCAGCGUACCCCCGACCUUCACCUUCGAACUCAUCGGAAGACCACGACGACGAAGACAUCUACCUGAGCAACUGAAGGAAGGAAGCAGAAGAACGGGAAGAGAGCAGAGUGAGAUCGGGAAUCGGAGGGUAGAGGGAAGAGAGCGCGAGAAUGAGGGAGGGGCCCUCCACCUUUUAUAGCCGAAAAAGAGGGCUUCAAGAACGCAUCUCAGCCGUCCAUCGAUGGUAGAUCCAACGGAGGAAAACUUGUGACUCUUUGGUGAACAGAUGUGAUUGAUGGGGGAAAGGAUCAUGGCCGUUGUUGAAGGCAAGAUCGAAUAGCUAUAAUAGCGAGACGUUUCGUUGCCCAGAACCAUUUGGAGAGUUUAAACCCCUUCGCUAGUCGAAGACGCUCGGGGCUUGGGGGGCUUGUGUAGUGGAGAGGGGCCGGUUGGGCCGAUCGGACCAAGCGCAGUGGAGAUGGGCCGGUCGGGCCGACCAGUGCGGGGCGAGUAGAAGUGAGGUUGUAGGAGCAUUGAUGUGCCUUGAUGGAGAUGUAACGGAAGAUGUAGCAAAUCAAUGAAAUUAAUGGUCAGUUACGAAUGUGCAGUCUAUAAAUAAGAAUAGCAGGACAGGUAAAGUAAUCUUGAAUCUAAUCUAAAUUGGCCUAGCUAAUUGAUCCAUUAUCUGACUUGGGCGUCGAAGUGUUCUCUUUGCAAGACCUCCUCGUUGAUCUUCAAAAGACAUCAUUAAGACGAACAGGUCGGGCGGUCGGAAGCUGGUCCAAAGGGUCGGUUCGGUCUCGGGC
rnacentral:lncRNA from 1 species